UCAUAGUGAUCCGGUGGUUCUGAAUGGAAGGGCCAUCGCUCAACGGAUAAAAGGUACUCCGGGGAUAACAGGCUGAUACCGCCCAAGAGUUCAUAUCGACGGCGGUGUUUGGCACCUCGAUGUCGGCUCAUCACAUCCUGGGGCUGAAGUAGGUCCCAAGGGUAUGGCUGUUCGCCAUUUAAAGUGGUACGCGAGCUGGGUUUAGAACGUCGUGAGACAGUUCGGUCCCUAUCUGCCGUGGGCGCUGGAGAACUGAGGGGGGCUGCUCCUAGUACGAGAGGACCGGAGUGGACGCAUCACUGGUGUUCGGGUUGUCAUGCCAAUGGCACUGCCCGGUAGCUAAAUGCGGAAGAGAUAAGUGCUGAAAGCAUCUAAGCACGAAACUUGCCCCGAGAUGAGUUCUCCCUGACCCUUUAAGGGUCCUGAAGGAACGUUGAAGACGACGA
rnacentral:rRNA from 1 species